GAGAGCCGGAUGCUCGGAAAUCGGGCCCGUCCGGUUCGGUGGGAGGCCGAGCGGAAAAGGCCCUGCACAGCAGGGACCUCGCCGCUCGGCCGACCCUAC
rnacentral:ncRNA from 2 species